CCUCAUUCCAUUCCAAUCAGCCUUUAUUGAACAUGUACUAUGUGUUAAGGACACAGAGACUAUAUAUCUCUGCCAAAUCACCCCUGUAAAUAUUUCCUGAGCACCUACGAAGUGUAAGCCCAUGUGUUGUGUUCAUGUAUGGAGAGUAUGAGGAGAAAUAGCUGAGGACAUACAGAAGACAAAGAAAAUGGCACCCUGGAUUAAAAAGUGAACCCAGUGAAAAGUGAGACACUGGGAUACAGGAGAGCAACAAAGGUUAGGGGAAGUCAAGAAAUGACUGAGAUCCUAACUCUCCAUCUAUGCAUUAAGAUCUUUAAUGGAAAUGAAGCCCAUACCAUUUUAACAACCCCCCAGAUUAUACUGCUUCUGCUUUCCUUUGAAUGGUCUUUAAAGACCAUUCUAUCUUUGGAAGCUGAGUUGAAGAGAGCUCAGAGAUUCCAGAAUCCUGUAAUCCCACACCCUAACCAUCACAUCCCUAACUUACGCUAGACUCCAGACUAAUUUUUUAAAAAUAAUUUCAACUCCCCUUCCCUAGUUAUUCUGCUUGCAGCUUGUUGGAACCACCCAUUUUGGCCCCUAAUCAUAUGUAACCAUGGGUCUCCUCAUUAGACCACUGGCUGCUGUGAACAUAGACCCAUUUCUUUCAGGCAUCCACACUCUGCAACAAGGCUUACUGUGUUAACUUGACUUAUGGGAUAAGAGAGGAACUUGGGGCUCCCCUCCUCUCCUGCCAUCCUCAAGGGAUGCAGUGCUGCUUCAUGCUGUCUGCUUUUGUGAAUAUCUGCAGGGCUUUAAAUAGAAUCCUGUGGGAAUAACUCCUUUUAAAGGGAAGUUGAAAGCACUUAACUCAGCCAGAACUCGGUAUGCAUCAAAGGAGGAAAAAAGAAUAUAAAGAAGAAAGGAAAAAAAGGAGUCUGAAAGUUUUCUUCAGAGGCUUCAUCAUUCUAAAACUUAUAGGAGUGCUUUCCUAAAAUUAUGGGAAUAUGAGGACAAGAAAGAAGCCAAGAAGCAAGCAGCAUUCCUCGUUCCCAAGGGGAAACACAAACACCCCGAAGCAGAUCUGUCUAAGGUGGCCAUGCAAUGGUUUCAUGAGGCCCAGAAGUAGGUCCAGGUGAAUCCUUUUACAUGUGCCAUCUGUUUCUUGGGGGGACCCUGACUGACCUACCCAUUGAUCUUCAAUGGCACCCAUUUACUUGGCUGCAGCAUGAAAGCACUUUAGAAGGAAGGGAGGGACUCAACCUGGCAGAAGAAGUCAAAAAUGUUCUGAGCCUGGAAAUAGCUCUCUGAGCAGCAAAAUCUUCCAGCAUCCACUUUCUGAAGUGACCCUGAGAGGAGAGGAAGCUCUAGAAAGGAGAGGACAUUUUCUGUCUCUUCCCACACCAGAGAAAUCUUGUAGAAAUCACUUCCCACCCUUCUGUCCACUCCUUCUCUCUCACUUCCACAGAACAAUUUUUACAAGAUGAUUACCCAUAAUAAUUUUCCAGAUGAGGAAACUGAGGCUUAGAAAAAGGUUUCCUGAUCAAGAUUAUACAUGUGCAAAACAGUGAAGCUGGAAUUUGAAGGAUUUCUCUGAGCCAAUAAUGCAUAAACGUAUGCUGUAAGUGGAGGUUGGUCACCACUCAGACUUUGCCAAACAUAUGUGCUUUUUCUUUUCUCCUGGGACAUCAAACACACCUUCACAAAUUCUGUCUCAAGCUAAUUGUGGAGGAGGGGGUUAUUUUUUAAAUUAGUAAACCAUUCAAAGAACACUGGAACUCUGCUAAUGGAAAGGAAGUCAUGAAAAAAUUAGCUAAGUUGUCCUCAUCUAGCAUGAGAGAAAGACCAAGACUGACAUUUUGGUGUGGCAUUCUGUUAUAUCACAAGGAUAUUUGUAUAAGGCACGUGCAAUGCAGAGUUUUUUUUAUAGCUUUUGAACCAAACAUAUGUAUAAAGUAUGUAUGUGCAUACAUAGAUAUAUACAUUUAUACACAUACACAUAUGGGUGUGAGUACACAUACACAAGUGCGUAGUGUGUUGUGUGUGUAUGUAUAUGUGUGUGUGCCUGUAUAUACAUACCAUAUAUACAUGUAUAUAUAUAGAUACGCAUACCAUAUUAUGCAUAAAUAUACACUGUAAGAGGUUGUUCACCACUCAGACUUUGCCAAAUAUAUGUGCCUUUUUUUUUUCUCCUGGGACAUCAAACCCGCCUUGAUAAAUUCUGUCUCAAACUAAUUGUGGAGGAGGGUUUUAUUCUCUAAAGUAGUAAGCCAUUCAAAGAGGACUGGAACUCUACUAAUGGAUACCUACCAUAUAUAUAUAUAUAUGGUAUGUAUAUACACACACACAUACACAACAUGCUACAUAUACUACAUAUAUAUAUGUAUAGUUUCCAGAUUAUAAAGUGAUUAUUUUUAUUUUCUGCUUACUUCGUUCUAGCUGAUAUCCCAUGUAAAUUUCCAUUUUUCCCUCCUGUGAUUUGGGACAAUUUUACUAAUUUGAUGAAGCUCCAUAUGAUCCAUAUGAUCUUGGUAUAUGCAAGUAAAUCAAAGGUCUAGUUUAUAUGAUUGUUGGAGAAAGAAUCCCCUUUGAUGUUAAUAUUGCCAACAGCUCUUUUGUAAAGAAUUGCAUUUUAUUUUGUGCUGUUUAAUAGGAGAGCUGAAUCCCGUCCCCUUGGUUCUAAACUCCAAUGGAAUGUUAAGAUAACUGGCUCUAGGACCAUACCUAGGCCCUGCUCAAAGGUUCGGGGGCUGGCCAGAAGGGAAUUGAACCCUAGUGAACUCUCCAAGAGCCCCAAGGUUAUCACAGCCUCCUUAUGACAGUUGCCUCAAGCCAGAGACCAGUGUCCUUCAUAAUUGAUUUUUCUCCAGUUACAAAACUUUUUGUUCUUGCACAAAGUUUUUCCCCAUGAAACUUGUGUGUCUUUUUAGGUGGAAAUGUGAGAGAUUGGGAGAGGUGAUGAUCUAGAAAGAGAUGACUACAUAUCCUGGUUAUCCUUCCAAGUAUCAUUUAAAUGCUUCUUCUUAUUAUAGUGCUUGUACUUGAGGACAGUGUCACACUUCCACAGCAAUGUAGUUGUAGUUGCGAUGGCACUUCCAUUAUAAACCCCUGUUUUCAGGCGCUCAUGACAGCCUUGGCAAAAAUCACUCUUUGGGCUGAAAUUUCUCAUAUCCGUUCUCACCUCAGAGGUGAAAUUCUUGUUUUGAAUGUCUGGCAGAAAGCUCUGUAUCUGUGACUGUGUAAGUCCUCUCCGAUGGCCCAUGGGGGUGGGAGUCAGGGAGCUAGGAAUUUAAUAGGAAUGAGGUCUAGGAUGUUUAGGGUCCUCACUGGCAUGGUAUUUGGGAAUUGGGACCCCACGAUCACUUUGUGGACCCUGCUCUGGAGUAACCAUGUGAUUCUGCAAGUGACCCUGAUUCCUGGGUACUGAAGAUACUUUAUUAACUCUAGAAGCAGGUCAGUGAAAUGAUUCUUCAGGGAAAGAAUGAUUCUCACCACAUCCAUCUAGGUACACUAUGUGGAAGGAGACAGUAGUCUAGGGCUACAGUGUGGCCUCACCAUCUUUUUCAUUUCUCUAUGCUAUUAUUCAUCCAGAUUUUGCAGCCUGGAAUCCCUUUCCUGCCAUAUUCUACCAAAGCUUUAAUCCAAUUCAUAUGCCACCUUCUCUGCGAAGCCCCUGACUUGUCUUCUCAGUUGAAUUUCUUCUUCCUUGGUAUUCUGAUAGCAUGGUAUUUGGACUACUGAUGUAGCACUUAUUUGCUUUUAUCUCCUAGCAUCCUAAUUUAUGUGUCUUCUGCUAUGCCCCACUCUGCUAUUAGCUUGAAAGCUUCCUGAGGAAAAGGACUCUUGAACUUCUGUAGACAUUGCAAUACCUUGUGUAAAUUGAGUGCUCAAUAAAUGCUUGUUAGAUCAAUUCAUUUCAUUAUCACCACUUACUGAACAACAGCUACAUGCCUAGCACUCUUUGAAGCAAUAGGACAACUUUUUGAGAUUUUGAACCAAAAAACCUAAAUAGAUAUGGUUCUUGCCCUCCACAAACAUGCAAUUUUAGGUGCAUAGCAAGGCUGCAGACAAACCCAUAUUUAAAAUAUAAAGCCAGCAGACCAAUAGAAGACCUAGUGGUAGAGUUUCAACACCUGAUUUCCAUGGACAAUACCUGUUUGAAUGGGAGAUGGCAUGUGUGCGUCACCGAGUGGACCACGGUUGAGGAAAGAAUCCACCAGAAGCUCUCUGGCCUGGAUAUCUCUGCUUCAUUAAGGUAAUUGGAAGCUUUAUAAGAAAGCCCUCAACAGAGGUGAAACCAAACUGUUUUCUAUGGUGGUUUUCAAAUUGUUCUUGAAAUAAACUAAAUUGUUGUUAGAUCUAUGGCAAACGUCAGCACUUUAGCAGCAAUUUACUUGGGGAGAACGCAUAUUCUUUAAAAUGGGCAGGCUAUACUGUGCCCUUGUUCAUGUAAGAUUAUUGAAAGUAAAGAUGACUUGAAAUACAAAGUGUGUCUUAAAGUGAGGUUUUAAAAUAUCUUUCCUGCCCCAUUUUCAGCACGUCUAUUAUUAAUGUCUCUGCAACGAUUGAUUUCAGCUGUUCCUUGUCUCUUCUUGUGUCUCUGUUGUACUGAAUUUGAGGUUUGUUCUGCUGAGGAGACCCAGCCUAUCAGGGAGGAUGUGGGAGAAGGAUCAGAGCCAGCACUUGCUCCUUUAAUUCUGUCUGGCAUGUCGCUACCUAAAAUGAUACCAGGAGUCAGCUCGUGGAUGAGCCCUUGCUGACUGGCUGGCUCGUAGUCUCUUCUUAUCUGACCGGAGCAUGGAAAAUCCUGUCUUCCUGUUCCCAGAGCAAGCUGGGAUGAGCUCUCCUGCACAGACAGCAUUUAAUUUGUGAUGGUUGAUGAGAGAUGGGACUCAGUAUGUUGCCCAGGCUGGUCUUGAACUACGAGACUGAAGUGAUCCUCCUGCCUUGGCCUCCCAAAGUGCUGGGAUUACAGUCAUAAGCCACCACACCUAGCUACAACCUCUUCAGAACAUUUAUCCGGGAUAGUGAAAUCGAAAGAGGACUCAACUUGUCGUUCUUAUGCCAACGUGCUGAGUGUGGCAUGGUUGAGAGAUGAAAAAGUGGAGGCCUAAAAAGGUCAAGCUACUCAACCCAAGGACACACAGCUCCUGGAAGACUGAGCAAGAUUCUGACCCUAGGGCUGAGGCCUCCAGCCACUGUGAGCUCCCCUGCCCUGAGAAGCACGUCUGCCAUCUCUUCCUGCUCUGGGUGUCACUUAGCUCUGAAAACAUAGGCAUCGGAGUGUAGCAGACUGACUCAGAGUCCUCCCAAGAUGCAGAUUCUACUGAAAUCCAAACCCAAGGGGUCUACAAAAUGGAUAAGAAAACUGAAGCCCAGAAAAUUUAUUUCCUUCACCUGGUCACACACAGAUCUCCUGGUAUAUUCAGAACUAGAACUCAGAUACUUGAUUCCCAUUCAGAAAGAACCUGGUCAGCUGGUUCGGGGUUAAAGAGGACAGAGAACACCAGUGAAAAAACCUCCACUGAGUAAGGGAGCUACCUUGUACUUCUAUUUGGCUGCUCAGAACAUUCAGAUGCUCAUUUUCUGGUUUUAUUGGUUUUGGACAGUUGUACUCAUCAAAUUAAGUGACCUUCAGAAAAGUGAGAGAUUAUAAAUCACAUGGUUAGUUUCUUCCAACCAAAGAUAAUAGAACACUGGCUGAUGAGACUCAGUCCAAAUUCUCUGUUAUAGAAAUGCAUUGCUUGCUUAUGCAGUUGGCUUGGGAUGAGGCCAACUCUGGGUGGGGCCCAGAUUAAAGUAGCAAAGAUACUAUUAUAAAACAAUUUGACAUGGCAAAAACAGUAAACAUUUAAACUAUUACUUACAUGCCAGGUACUGUGGGCAGCACUUUGCUUGCACUAUUUCAUUUAAUUCUUAAAAGCACCCAUUUUAUAGAUGAGAAAAUUGAGGCUUAGAGAGAUUAUGUAAUUUUCCCAGGACAUACAACUUCCAAAUGGGCUGAACUAGGACUCUAAACUGCUUUAUUAUGACAAUAGUACCCAUGACUUUAACCACUACACUCUCCUGUAGAAUAUUUAGAGGUAUGUUGCGAUAGACACCAUUGUUUUAUACACGAUGUUGACACACACUUUUAAUAUAAUUUAAACUUUUCAAACACUGGUCUAUCAGGUAAGUGAAUAAGUGCAUAAUAGAAG
rnacentral:lncRNA from 1 species